ensembl:lncRNA
ACCGGUCUCCAGCUUGGCUCUGCCUCCAACUUGAGUAUGUCUCUGAGACAGCCCUCCCCGGGCUGGGUUGCAGUCAACAAAGUGAGGAAGCUUGACCAAAAGGAACUCAGAAAACCCAUCCAGCUUGAUAGCAGAGGCAGCAGCUGCACAGAGGUGGAACGAAUGCGGGCUCACGGCUGGAACACUUCCAUUAGGGCUGGGUGAGUGGAAAGCACAGGAGAGCUCAUGCAGCUGGGGACAGCGAGUGCCGCAUCCCCAGCUAGGAAGAUAGGAACGGUUUCUGUCUUCUGGCUUGGAUGUUUGUGCUCUCUGCCCUGUGUUUACAUGUUACAGAGGAAAGCAUGCUCCUGGAUUCUCUGGAAAAUCACUUAGGUCUCUGUCUGGCUGCAAAAUGAAGCCAGGUGUGGGUCUGCUUACCUGCCCAGCUGACGACCAGAGCAGAUCUGCAAGAGACGUGGCCAGAGCACUGAACUAGGCAUCACUGAAGCGCUGGUCACUUCUGUGCCGUGUGGCAUUAGCAUCAGGAAAAGAGAAAAAGCCUCCGUGAACAUCGAGUGACCUAUUCAAAGCCACAGAGAACCCAAACUGUCUGCUUUGCAGUGCGCAGCUCCUUCCAUUCAUUAUCUGUCAGCUGCACGGUCCUAAAUGCCCUCAGAAAUGUGUCUUCCUCUAAGAGAUCAGAGCACAGGCGGAUACUGGAAUACAAAGGGAUGAGAAGACAUGGUCCCUCGUUCCAGGUGUCCUGCAAGAUGAGACAGCAGCACAGAUCUCCUUCCCCUCCUGCUCAGGGAAGCUACCUGGAUGUCUCCUCCACCAGGUACAGGGUCCUGCCAUCAGUUCCACACCCGUCAGAGUAUUUCUCACUCUGGUUUGUGAUUGCUUCUUUGUUGUCCAUCUUCCUUAACCCACCAUAUGCUUCUGGAGGGUGAGGACAACUUUUGCUUUGUUCACCAUUGACUUCCCAGUGCUUGGCGCCUAGUAGGUACUUAACAAGGAUUUACUGAAUUAUUGAUUCCAACUAAAAAUAGAAAAGUGGGUGAACAGAUAGAUGUGGUUUAUCAUUUUUUAUGAGUUACGGUG